rnacentral:rRNA from 1 species
AGAGUUUGAUCCUGGCUCAGGACGAACGCUGGCGGCAUGCCUAACACAUGCAAGUCGAACGGAGAUUAUUUCGGUAAUCUUAGUGGCGAACGGGUGAGUAACGCGUGGGCAACCUGCCCUCUAGAUGGGGACAACAUCCCGAAAGGGGUGCUAAUACCGAAUGUGACAGCAAUCUCGCAUGAGGAUGCUGUGAAAGAUGGCCUCUAUUUAUAAGCUAUCGCUAGAGGAUGGGCCUGCGUCUGAUUAGCUAGUUGGUGGGGUAACGGCCUACCAAGGCGAUGAUCAGUAGCCGGUCUGAGAGGAUGAACGGCCACAUUGGGACUGAGACACGGCCCAGACUCCUACGGGAGGCAGCAGUGGGGAAUCUUCCGCAAUGGGCGAAAGCCUGACGGAGCAAUGCCGCGUGAGUGAUGAAGGAAUUCGUUCCGUAAAGCUCUUUUGUUUAUGACGAAUGUGCAGAUUGUGAAUAAUGAUUUGUAAUGACGGUAGUAAACGAAUAAGCCACGGCUAACUACGUGCCAGCAGCCGCGGUAAUACGUAGGUGGCGAGCGUUGUCCGGAAUUAUUGGGCGUAAAGAGCAUGUAGGCGGUUUUUUAAGUCUGGAGUGAAAAUGCGGGGCUCAACCCCGUAUGGCUCUGGAUACUGGAAGACUUGAGUGCAGGAGAGGAAAGGGGAAUUCCCAGUGUAGCGGUGAAAUGCGUAGAUAUUGGGAGGAACACCAGUGGCGAAGGCGCCUUUCUGGACUGUGUCUGACGCUGAGAUGCGAAAGCCAGGGUAGCGAACGGGAUUAGAUACCCCGGUAGUCCUGGCCGUAAACGAUGGGUACUAGGUGUAGGAGGUAUCGACCCCUUCUGUGCCGGAGUUAACGCAAUAAGUACCCCGCCUGGGGAGUACGUCCGCAAGGAUGAAACUCAAAGGAAUUGACGGGGGCCCGCACAAGCGGUGGAGUAUGUG